rnacentral:lncRNA from 1 species
UGUAUCUGUCGACUUCUCCCGUUGGUCUGUACUUUGUUUUGUAUACCCACUUUACUCCAAUGGGUUUCUUUCCUCUUGGAAGGUCGGUAAGCUCCCAAUAUCAUUCUUCUCAAUAGAAUGGAUUUCCUCCUCUAUUGCUUUCACCCAACGUUCUUCUUUAAUUGCAUCCUUGAAAUCCACAGGAUCGCAAUCUGAAAAUAAGGCAAAGUUCAAAAUAUCUUUGUCAGUUAGAGUAUCAACAUCAUUACCGACAACGUAAUCCUCCAAAUGAGCCGGUAGACGUCGUUGCCUCUGUGAUCGACCAUGCUGUAUUGGUUGUAUNNNNN